rnacentral:sRNA from 1 species
AAGGGGUCCAGGUCAGAGUUUAGAGCUUUCAAAUCCCAACUUGCCCCUGGGGAUUGCGCGGCUGAUGUUUAGAUAUCAAGUCAUCAGGGUCUGGCUGUGUAAAAGUUCAAAGUAUUGAGUGUGAUAAUUGCAAAAUUGAAACAGAGCAUGGGACUAGCAUCUUGCAGUCUGUUAAG